rnacentral:lncRNA from 1 species
UCUGCUGCAUUUAGACACUUUAAUAUACCACUUAAGACUGGAUCAUAUACUGCUUUCUAAUUUCUCAUUUGCUCAUAUGAGGUACCUGAUACUUCUCAUAUAAUCGCCAUGAGGGCGAGCUCCUCUUCACAGGUUAAUGUAAGGUGGGAUAAUGCAAUGAAAUUAAGGUCAUGAUUUGGGACCUUCUGCAAGAUGAAGGGUCUGUAAACCAGGUGGCAGAAUAAAUUUGGCUCUAGAUCCCAACCUACUUCAGACAGGACAUUAGGACCUUAGUAUUUAUCAGUCAAUAUCUAAAUUCAAUAUUUCCAAGAAGACACUCAAGAACAGCUUUCAAGGAAGAUUUUGUCACCUCUUCUUAAAACCCCUUUCAACUGAUAAUACCAUACGGCAUGCAGCACAAAUGAGACCGUGUGUUUCAGAAUCAAGAUAGGCAGACAGGACUUUACAAUGCGAAAGAGAGUCAGGAAGCACAAAACUUCUCAGCUAAGGAUAAUUUGGUUGCACAAUGGAGACAAAGACAGAGAGUUACCUACUGAGCUGUGUUGGCAUUUGUUGGUGAGAACCUGUUAGAUGUCUACUUCCGCCUCAGGGGUCAUUCCUUGAGCAGCCUAGGCUGGUUGUCAGGAGCUAUCGGCCCACAGGCUGUGGGAACCCGAGCAAUCAAACAAGGGCAGAAGUGCCUCAGAGACUCUCAGUCCAAAUCUAGAAUGUCGACUACAGCAGCCAGCAACA